AGGCGGUCCUGCAAGUCUGGAGUGAAACGUAUGAGCUCAACUCAUGCAUGGCUCUGGAAACUGGAGGACUGGAGAGCAGGAGAGGGCGGUGGAACUCCAUGUGUAGCGGUAAAAUGCGUAGAUAUAUGGAAGAACACCAGUGGCGAAGGCGGCCGCCUGGCCUGUUGCUGACGCUGAGGCACGAAAGCGUGGGGAGCAAAUAGGAUUAGAUACCCUAGUAGUCCACGCCGUAAACGAUGAGGACCAAGUGUUGGGGGUGAAACCUCAGUGCUGAAGUUAACGCAGUGAGUCCUCCGCCUGGGGAGUAUGCACGCAAGUGUGAAACUCAAAGGAAUUGACGGGGGCCCGCACAAGCGGUGGAGUAUGUGGUUUAAUUCGAAGCAACGCGAAGAACCUUACCAGGCCUUGACAUGGGAUGCGAAGACGCAGAGAUGCGUUGGAGGCAAACAUCCACACAGGUGGUGCAUGGUUGUCGUCAGCUCGUGUCGUGAGAUGUUGGGUCAAGUCCCGCAACGAGCGCAACCCUUGUGGCAUGUUGCUAACAGGAAAGCUGAGGACUCAUGCCAGACUGCCGGUGACAAACCGGAGGAAGGCGGGGAUGACGUCAAAUCAUCAUGCCCCUUAUGGCCUGGGCUACACACGUACUACAAUGGCGGCUACAAAGAGCGGCGAGACAGUAAUGUCGAGCGAAUCUCAUAAAAGCCGUCCCAGUUCGGAUUGGAGCCUGCAACCCGGCUCCAUGAAGUUGGAAUCGCUAGUAAUCGCGGAUCAGCAUGCCGCGGUGAAUACGUUCCCGGGCCUUGCACUCACCGCCCGUCAAG
rnacentral:rRNA from 1 species